CAAAGGAAUUGACGGGACCCGCACAAGCAGCGGAGCGUGUGUUUAAUUCGAGGCUACACGAAGAACCUUACCAGGGUUUGACAUGCAAGUGGUAGGAAUCCGAAAGGUGACCGACCCUUCGGGGAGCUUGCACAGGUGCUGCAUGGCUGUCGUCAGCUCGUGUCGUGAGAUGUUCGGUUAAGUCCGCUAACGAGCGCAACCCUCGUCGUGUGUUAUACGUGUCACACGAUACUGCCGGUAUCAAGCCGGAGGAAGGUGGGGAUGAUGUCAAGUCAGCAUGGCCUUUAUAUCCUGGGCUACACACACGCUACAAUGGCAGAUACAAUAGGUUGCGAAACCGCGAGGUGGAGCCAAUCCUCAAAGUCUGUCUCAGUUCAGAUUGUAGGCUGCAACUCGCCUGCAUGAAGUUGGAGUUGCUAGUAAACGCAGGUCAGCUAUACUGCGUUGAAUACGUUCCCGGGGUUU
rnacentral:rRNA from 1 species